AGAUAUAUCCUACGGAAGGCAGCAGUGAGGAAUAUUGGUCAAUGGGCGCGAGCCUGAACCAGCCAAGUCGCGUGAGGGAGGACGGCCCUACGGGUUGUAAACCUCUUUUGCCGGGGAGCAACGGGCGUCACGUGUGGCGCCACUGAGAGUACCCGGAGAAAAAGCAUCGGCUAACUCCGUGCC
rnacentral:rRNA from 1 species